AUUGAACGCUGGCGGCGUGGCUAAAGCAUGCAAGUCGAGCGAACCCGCAAGGGUGAGCGGCGGACGGGUUAGUAAUACGAUCGAACGUGCCCUGAGGCGGGGGAUAGGCGUGGGAAACUGCGCGUAAUACCCCAUGAUCUCUCCGGAGCAAAGGUUUACCACCUUGGGAUCGGCGAUCGUCCUAUCAGGUAGUUGGCGGGGUAAUGGCCCACCAAGCCUAUGACGGGUAGCAGGUGUGAGAGCACGACCUGCAACAUCGGGACUGAGACACUGCCCGGACUCCUACGGGAGGCUGCAGCGACGAAUCUUCCGCAAUGGGCGCAAGCCUGACGGAGCGACGCCGCGUGUGGGAUGAAGGUCUUCGGAUUGUAAACCCCUUUCGGGAGGGAAGAUGGAGCGAGCAAUCGUUCGGACGGUACCUCCAGAAGCAGCCACGGCCAACUUCGUGCCAGCAGCCGCGGUAAGUCUCGCGUGA
rnacentral:rRNA from 1 species